AGUCUUUUUAUCACAGGGCACUUGCUGCAGAUAAAAAUGAGGAGAAAACUUCCCCAGACAUGAAAGAGAAGAGGUAAAAGCAAGGAAGGGAAUGCUGUGUGUCUGUGAACAGACCCUCGAAGAUGCAAGAAAAAGCAAACCACACAGAAGAACUGCACACUGCAAUGAAGUUGGAAUGCAAGUCUUCAUCAGAAGGGAGGGAACAAACUUUGGAUAAUCCAACCACAAAAUAUGUGAACCACAAACAAGUGUAAACACACAGGUAGA